rnacentral:rRNA from 1 species
GAGUUGCUUAAAUGCGAUUCUUUGUAUACUAUUUACCCCCACCAACCCAGAGGUGCAUUGUGGCCUUUAACGAGGUUAGCAGUGUAUCAGUACGUAUGACAAAGGCAACUUUGGCUUACAUUACAUAUAAGUUACCCCCCAUUUACACUUAAGAAGUUUUAAGAAUGAUACCUAUAACUAUAUAACUUUCAGCAAUGGAUCUCUAGGCUCUCACGUCGAUGAAGAACACAGUGAAAUGUGAUACGUAAUGUGAAUUGCAUAAUUCAGUGAAUCAUCGAAUCUUUGAACGCACUUUGCACCUUUUGGUUAUUCCGAGAGGUACGCCUGUUUGAAUGUCACGAAACCCCCCUCGUCUUUAACGCUUUCUAAAAGAGUUAUUGACGGAUUCUGAGUGUUGGCGUGUCAACGCCUCGCUUUAAAUAUAUCAGCACUUUUGGAUGGUUACAUGUUAGUUCAAAAGACGUACUUGAUGUCGUAUUUAUACAAUUCAUCGAGAUGGUCUUUGGUCGUAUCGACUAUCCGCUAAUAUGACGACUUGAAGAAUAGCUUCCUAACCCCAUUGAAUUUACCUU